UACGUAGGGGGCAAGCGUUGUCCGGAAUUAUUGGGCGUAAAGAGCGCGUAGGCGGUCCGAUAAGUCGGCUGUGAAAGUCAGGGGCUCAACCCUUGGAAGCCGGCCGAUACUGUCGGACUAGAGUCCGGAAGAGGCGAGUGGAAUUCCCGGUGUAGCGGUGGAAUGCGCAGAUAUCGGGAGGAACACCAAUGGCGAAGGCAGCUCGCUGGGACGGUACUGACGCUGAGGCGCGAAAGCGUGGGGAGCAAACAGG
rnacentral:rRNA from 1 species